CCUACGGGAGGCAGCAGUGAGGAAUAUUGGUCAAUGGGCGCUAGCCUGAACCAGCCAAGUAGCGUGAAGGAGGACGGCCCUAUGGGUUGUAAACUUCUUUUAUAGGGGAAUAAAGUGCAGUAGGUAUACCGCUUUGCAUGUACCUUAUGAAUAAGGAUCGGCUAACUCCGUGCCAACAGCCGCGGUAAUACGGCGGGUCCGAGCGUUAUCCGGAUUUAAUGGGGUUAAAGGGAGCGUAGGCGGGUUGGUAAGGACGUUGUGAAAGUUUGCGGCUCAACCGUCUAAGUGCAGUUGAUACUGGCGUCCUUGAGUACAGUAGAGGUAGGCGGACUUCGUGGUGUAGCGGUGAAAUGCUUAGAUAUCACGCAGAACUCCGAUUGCGAAGGCAGCCUGCUGGACUGUACCUGACGCUGAUGCUCGAAAGUGUGGGUAUCAAACAGGAUUAGAUACCCCUGUAGUC
rnacentral:rRNA from 1 species